GGCGGCGUAGCCCAGGGGUCAGAGCAUCCGGCUCAUAUCCGGAAUGUCGAAGGUUCGAAUCCUUCCGCCGCCACCA
rnacentral:tRNA from 1 species